AAGAACAAGAAAAGAAUUUCUGCUUUUAGUGGCCAGACCUUCAACUUUUGCUCACAGAAAGAGAGUGCUCAUUAAGAGAAGUUCUUUCAGGGAGCCUGCCUUAUCUGUUGGUUUUAUUCCAAGAGAGGAGUCAGUCUCCAGCAUUAAGUUAUUUUUCUCGUUAGUCAUCAUUAACAUGGAGAGUGCCUUUGAUCCUAUCCCCACAGCAGCCAGUUCCUGCCCCUGUGGUCAAAAUGCCCCAGGUUGGGGGACAGAGAAGCCCCUCGGACUACAAAACUGCCAACAGCCAAAGGACGAGAUAAAAAUAAUAAGGACUUGAAGAUCCGAUCCUUCUCCUGAUUUAGUAGCUCUGUUCCAAGAACCAGGGGCCAUAAAACCUUUUGGCCCUUAUCUCCUGGAGCCAUAAAACAGGGACGUAUUGGGGUAAGAUGGGCUAGAAAAGGCCUCGAUGAUUUGGGCUAGCAUGAGUAAAACUUGUAAUAAAAAAGAGACAAGGUAA